rnacentral:rRNA from 1 species
AUGGCUUACUAUUCAGAUCAUCAGGCUUAUGCGAGCAACACUACAAACAACACGGGAAGUAUUCAAGAACUGAUAGGUAAGAUUUCCCAUCGACUAGAUGAUUUAGCUCGACAGCGAGAAGGAGUUUUUGAGGAUAGGCCUAGUUCUUAUGAUCCUUAUUCCAGAGGCCAUCCUUAUGUUGCUCCUACUUGCCAUAUUUGUGGAUUUCAGGGCCAUUCGCCCGCUGAAUGUCAGCGUGGUUACUCCCAUCCUCCGGAUUGUUUUGGCAUGAGCUUCGCUCAACAGCAUAGCUCAUACCAAAACAAUUACUCACAUGGGUGGCCUGAAAGCCUGAAUAUGUCAUAUAGGAGCAACAACCCUGAGAUCUCAUCGUUUGCCUCUAGUUAUCCAUUGCAGGGAUUCAGGUACAAUGAGGAGAACCACAACUAUGCUCCCCAACAGAUUUAUUCAGCUCCUACUCAUAUACCUCAACACCAGGACAUGUUGCCAAUGGAGUUAAUUGGUCCUCCAUUUGGUCAACCAACAUCUUCAACACAAGUGCCCACACAAGAUGACUUCGAUGACAUAGACAAGCUCGCACUUUUGAGUCUCGAUUCACUUGGAGUGCUGAGGAUGAUCCUAUUAGGAAGGUUAUACUAG